CUACGGGCGGCUGCAGUGGGGAAUCUUAGACAAUGGGCGCAAGCCUGAUCUAGCCAUGCCGCGUGAGUGACGAAGGCCUUAGGGUCGUAAAGCUCUUUCGCUGGGGAAGAUAAUGACGGUACCCAGUAAAGAAACCCCGGCUAACUCCGUGCCAGCAGCCGCGGUAAUACGGAGGGGGUUAGCGUUGUUCGGAAUUACUGGGCGUAAAGCGCGCGUAGGCGGAUCAGAAAGUUGGGGGUGAAAUCCCGGGGCUCAACCCCGGAACUGCCUUCAAAACUCCUGGUCUUGAGUUCGAGAGAGGUGAGUGGAAUUCCGAGUGUAGAGGUGAAAUUCGUAGAUAUUCGGAGGAACACCAGUGGCGAAGGCGGCUCACUGGCUCGAUACUGACGCUGAGGUGCGAGAGCGUGGGGAGCAAACAGGAUUAGAUACCCCGGUAGUC
rnacentral:rRNA from 1 species